GGAGUUCCUGGAAGCUGCCUUCUGCUCAGCCAGGCCUGCUUGUGGGCGGAGCCCAUGCCAGCUACAUGUGUCAAGGAAGCCACAGCUUGGCUAGUGAGCAAUGCAAUUCUGGGAAUGUUCAGGCUCUCUCUGUUCUUUCCUCUCUUGCAAACCAUGGGCACCCUUGGGUCCCUUGGGGUCACUAUGUUACACCUGCUUUUUAUCUGUCUGGGCAAGAGCUGCUCAAGCCACACCUUGUGACACUGAGCCUCAGGAGGACAACGUCAGAAACCAAAAGCUCCUCUGCCCAGGGAUGGGGACCCGCCGACUUCAAGGGCAGAACAGAUCAGCUAUGAAAAUACCCAGCCGGCCUGCAGCCCUCCCGGCAGAUGCUGAAAAGGAAACCCGACUGGGAGAUGCCGCCCACCCUUAUCCCCAGAGAGCUGCGUUGUUUCCUCUUGCCUUGGCCUUUGGAUCCGGCCAUAGCAAGCAUCCCUGGGCACCUGGCUGAAGCUGGAAACUCGGGAUAAGAAUGGAAGCCCUGGAAGGGAAGAAGAACCGAGGAGAGGACAGCACAUUGCACUCUCACCUCCUUUGCAGUUAAGUGUGAAAUAGUGCCAAUAGAGUGUAAAAGAAAAGAAAGAAGAUGAUUCACCUCCCAAAGAUUCCCCACUGCUGUGUCCCUUCUAUCAACUUGAUACAAAAAAACACAAUGGCCCCGGGAACCACGUGUUGAAGAUGAGAGAGCUAAAAGAUGGAAAGAGACUGGAGCCCUGAGUCACCACCUGGAGGAAAACUACCCACCCAUCAGGAAUUUCUACUACACAUUUGGGAGUUUUUGGGGUUACAGCAGCUAAUUUAACGAAAACACCCAGAGACAAGAGCUAUUACUGCACAAAUUGGUUAAGUUACCUUUUUGUAUGUUUGGGUCCUCUCUAUUCGAUGAGACUGCGCGUUCCUUUGAAGCAAAUCUGUUUAAAAUUCUUAUAUCCCCAGAGGGCCUAGCAGAGAGUAUGCACAGAGUGAGCCUUCAGUAAAUGCUGAGUAAAUAAGCUCCUAAUGGAUGAAACUGUGUCUUCGAAGUUUGUUCUGACCAGUACUUAGUAUAGGAUUUUGUGCUGUUGGUCACUUUUCAUAAAGGUUCUUGCUAUUAAGGAACUUGACAUCCAAUGUACUCAUAGAAAGUAGAAAUUCAGGGGAAACAAAUAGAAGAGAUAUGUCCAAAAAUCCAUUUAAAAUUUCAUUGACAGAUAUUUAUCUCUUUAAUCCUGGAAGUUGUUUCAUGUAAGGGAAGGUUCAGUAGAAUGAAAACAGGACUGUAAGCUGGGAGGAGAUUUGGGGUCUCUUGGCCAACUCUGCCACAAAUUGUGUUACCUUCAACUUCCCUGCCUGUAAAAUGAAGUCAGUGGUCCCUAAAAUGAAAUUGGACUAAUGGCAAAUUAGCUAGCAUUUGAUUAUACAUCGAUAGUUUCCCCAUGUGAUUUUAACGCACAAAUCAGAUUUUGGAACCAUUAGGUAGGUGAUCUUAUCUUAUGAGUUUAUCUUUUUCAACAUGGAAAAAUAAAUUUGUUUUGCUGACCGAAGGCUGUGUAACUUAGAACUGGAAAGAGACAUGUAAUUGAAUAACCCAUCUCUAUGGGGCAAAAAAAUGAAACACCUUUAGUUUGUUCAAAGAUGAAAUGGAAAAAUAAACAUGUUUUAAGAUGA
ensembl:lncRNA LINC01093 long intergenic non-protein coding RNA 1093